rnacentral:rRNA from 1 species
AGAUGGCGACCGGCGCACGGGUGAGUAACACGUAUCCAACCUGCCGAUAACUCGGGGAUAGCCUUUCGAAAGAAAGAUUAAUACCCGAUGGCAUAGUUCUUCCGCAUGGUAGAACUAUUAAAGAAUUUCGGUCAUCGAUGGGGAUGCGUUCCAUUAGGUUGUUGGCGGGGUAACGGCCCACCAAGACUACGAUGGAUAGGGGUUCUGAGAGGAAGGUCCCCCACAUUGGAACUGAGACACGGUCCAA